CAAGCAGGCCGGGCAAUCGCGCGGCCGGGCAUCCGGCCUCCUCUUGGUCGGCGGUCAAACGCCGGCCAGCGGUGGCGGGGAGUCCGGAGCGAGGAAAGUCCGCACUCCACAGAGCAGGGUAGCGGGUAACACCCGUCCGCCGUAAGGCGAGGACUAGUGGCACAGAGACGACGACCCAGUGGGACGUGACCCGGCGCAAGCCGGACUCGCGCCCCGCAAGGGGGUGAAAAGAGUCAAACUCUACCCGGAGCAAGCUCAGAUCGGGAUGUCGACGCUGCUCGCCGAGUCCCAGGUAGAGCGCCAGGAGCCGCGGGGCGACUCGUCGGCCAAGAGAGAUGAUUGCCUAGAACAGGAUGCGGCUUACGGGCCUGCUUGGCUU
rnacentral:RNase_P_RNA from 1 species